rnacentral:rRNA from 1 species
GGCGGACGGGUGAGUAAUGCUUGGGAACAUGCCUUGAGGUGGGGGACAACAGUUGGAAACGACUGCUAAUACCGCAUAAUGUCUACGGACCAAAGGGGGCUUCGGCUCUCGCCUUUAGAUUGGCCCAAGUGGGAUUAGCUAGUUGGUGAGGUAAUGGCUCACCAAGGCGACGAUCCCUAGCUGGUUUGAGAGGAUGAUCAGCCACACUGGGACUGAGACACGGCCCAGACUCCUACGGGAGGCAGCAGUGGGGAAUAUUGCACAAUGGGCGCAAGCCUGAUGCAGCCAUGCCGCGUGUGUGAAGAAGGCCUUCGGGUUGUAAAGCACUUUCAGUCAGGAGGAAAGGUUAGUAGUUAAUACCUGCUAGCUGUGACGUUACUGACAGAAGAAGCACCGGCUAGCUCCGUGCCAGCAGCCGCGGUAAUACGGAGGGUGCGAGCGUUAAUCGGAAUUACUGGGCGUAAAGCGUAC